UGACAAAGUAAAAACCCUAAAAUAUUUUUUAAAAUACAGCUGACAUGUAUAAGUUGAGGGGGGCUUUUUCAGCACAAAAAAUGUGCUGAAAAACUCGACUUAUACACCAGUAUAUAUGGUACUCAGCUCCUCAUAUAGGAAAUUAAUAAUUAUUAUUGUUAAACAUGGGAGAAGAAAUCUUUUGGGUGUUAUGUGAUCUGGGCUGGGGUUCCAGUCUACUCUAAUAUCAUUGAUGAAGUCAGAUAUGAAUGCGCCAUAUGAUGAUUAACUUCUGUUUCUUUUUUUUAUAAAAAUGGCAAAGUUCUGGUAAAUAUUUCUGACCAGUAGAAAAUGUCGAUGUGGAAUUUGUGAACCUUUCCUUAAUUCUGCUGAACGUAGGCUAUAAAACAUCUCUCCACUAAUGUCAUAGGAUCCAGAUUCAUCUGAUUCAGAAGAGAGUAGCAGUGGUGGUGAAGAUGAAGACUCUGAUGAAAAAGAGACAGACAAGGAAGAGGUGGAAGAAAAUGCAGCAGAAUUUUAUGAUCAAGCAUCCAGAAGUGAGGGACGGAGCAGAAAAUCACCCGACAGCACAGAAAGGAAUCAAGUGACUGUGGAAACCAUAAAGAAAGAAAUGGCCACUCCAGAAGGAGAAAUAACUCAGCAAGAGGGUGAGAAUACAGAGGUUUGUGCCAUGAAGAGUUCUUCAGGAGCAGUUACAGACAAUAAUGCUGACGGCACACAUGAAAGACUACUGGGGAAGAGGAAAAUGUUUUCUCUCUUUAAACUAAAGUCUUUGCGGCAGAAGAAUGCACACAACUGUAAUGAAAGCAGCCUUGAAAAGCUACCUCAGAGUGAAGCGGAAACUGGAAAGCAAGCAGGCCUACCUCACAAAGAUAGUCAAGAUGAAAACCAAAACCAUACUGAGCAAAAUCAGAAGGAAAUGUCACCCACAAAUCAGGGUAGAAAGACAUCCUCCACGUGUGUAAUACUUUAGUACCGAAGUGUCUGUAAUGAGAAGUUUGCGUAUGUGUGAUGGCGGAGGUGACUCGUUUUGCAAGGAAAGACUGCAAUUUAUACUUGAAAACAAUAAUGUAUGUGCAUAAUGAUUAUAGUCCCCCCUCUAAAAUUAGCAUGUUUGUAUUAAUAUAUUUUGGUGGAUUCCGCAUGGGCCAAAAACAGCGGUGUGAAAACCAUUUUCAGACUGUAUUCUGUUUACACCAUUUUCAGACUGUAUUCACGCCGCUGUUUUUGGCCCAUGCCGAAUCCACCUCUGAUUGUGGACCAACUCUCUAGUAUUUAUUAGUCUUCAUAGUUUAGAUAUUGCAACAAUAUGCUUAUCACAGUCUUGCUGAAACGUUGUGGCCUUAAUUCUCAGUGUUUUAAUAAAAAUAUAUUUUUAUAUGUCGAAAGCUAGAUUAAGCCAUUUUAUAAGUUUUCCUGAACAACUUUAUCUUUUGAAUCUAUAACUGUAAAUAUGCAUUGUAAAUACUCUUGGUUCAGCAAGAGAACCAGAGGAAUGGUUAUUUAAAACGUUUAUUCUCUAGCAUGUUUGUCUUUCAUAAAAGAAGCAAUAAAAUUCAUAAAUAUUGAAGUGUUUUGUCACUUCAGG